rnacentral:rRNA from 1 species
AAGCACAGCCAUAUCACCCUGCAGCCCAAGGCCGGUUACUCACUGAAGCUAAGCAGGGCUGAGCCUGGUUAGUACCUGGAUGGGAGACCACUAGGGAACACUAGGUUGCUGUUGGAA